UGCACAAUGUCCUCAUGUUCAGUUUAGGACUACACAAGUUUUCUUAAUAAAGACAUAGCCUUGCAAUCAUCUAAUCACCUGUGAUGUGUUUCAUGUAGGUUUCUGAAAACAUUACUAUUAGAAGGGAAUCCUGUUUCAGAACUUCCACCAAAGUUGGGAAAUGUGAUUACCCUCAGAGGCCUGAACCUAAGGAGCUGCCCCAUCAUUUUCCCUCCACAAGACACUGUGCACAAGGGGCUCCAGAGCAUCCUCCAGUACUUGAGAAAUGCUAUGGCUAAACGACCAGCGUAAGGAAGACCAUUCCAGUAGAGCUGCCAGUGGUGGAGAAGCUCCAGCUGUCAGAGCUGACAGGGUCCAGUAUGGAGGAGCAGGAUGUGUCAGGCGAUGAGGAUGAGCUGCAGAGGUUCAAGGAACUGAAGCACAAGAUGAUUCUACUGGACAAAACUGAGCUGGACUCAACAGCCCAGGGCAAGUCACAUCUUCUUCCUCUUACCAAAAGAAGAAAUUCAACUAUCAAGGCUGGCAUAAUUCCAGAGCUUCCUGGGUUUGACCCUCAGCAUUGGAAGAGGCCAGAAGAGAGAAGACAAGCUGCAUUGGAAGAGGCCAGAAGAGAAACAGACAGUUCUGGAGCAGAGGAGAAAGUAAGAAACCAAGCGGCUCUUCAGAAGUGCCGUACACAAGUCAAGUUCAAGCACAAGCUGAAGAAUAAAAGACAAAGAAAGCAAGAGGAAGCAGAAACAGAUUUGAAACCUGGUGUGCAGAACAACAGUCACACCGUUCAUACAUCCACCAUGUCCAACAGAGUGUGAGGAGAACAGUUUUUAAGGCAAGUAUGCAUCCAUCUCCAUCUUCGUGAAGAGUAUUGAUUUCUUAAGGGAACUCAAUCUGCCCAUGAGCUGGAGUGGCAGAUCUGUGCCUCUGCUGAGAAGAUGCAGGAGAGACACAAGAAUCCCAUUGGCACAGCCAGCGAGCAGAUGGCAGUGGCAGAUCAAGAUGUGGAGGAGAUGAGAAAGUUACAGGGGUGGCUUCUGGAGAGGAGGAGAAAUUGGGGAAAAGAUCAUGAAAAGUCUUUUAUCAUCUUCACUGGAGACACCUGGUCAAGUUACCUUGACAAAUGACAGUGAUCAUACAUCCCUUCUGUGGUAUUCACAUUUAAAUGUCAUCGUAAAGGGUAACCCCUUCAUGAAUGACCAUUGUAAUAUAUAUGUCUUAAAAAUAAAGAUCACAAGUUUGUUGACUGGGUGUGUAUUCUGAAAUGUUCAUUCUGUCUUUCUUCCUCUUUGGACCUCUGCAAGAUGUUCAAGGAGACAAACUAGCCAUGCUUUACAUUUACCUUGCCUUAAUAAUACCUCAAACAUGUACAAAAUAAAUUACUGUAAAAUGAAGCUGUUUGGCUGUUAAAUGUUAAACUGGGCUCAGCAAACAUAUUCUCUGUCAAUUAGGAAAAAAACU